GAUUUUUUGGUUUUAGCGAGAAAACACAUUUUUCGAUUUUGGCGAGAAAACAAGAUUUUUUCGGUUCUGGCGGGAAAACGAGAUUUUUUUUGGUUUUGGCGGGAAAAUACAAAUUUUCAAUUUUGGUGAGAAAACACGUUUUUGCGGUUUUGGCGGAAAAACACGUUUUUGGCAGGAAAACGCGUUUUUGCGGUUUUGGAGGGAAACACGUUUCUGCGAUUUUCGCGGGAAAAUAAAAUUUUUCGGUUUUGACGAGAAAAUGAGAUAUUUCGUUAUUGGCGGUAAAACGCGUUUUUGCGGUUUUGGCUGGAAAAACGCGUUUUUGGCGGGGAAAACUUGUUUUUGCGGUUUUAGCGGGAAAACACGUUUUUGGCAAGAAAACGCCUUUUUGUGUAUUUUGCGGUUUUUGCGGGAAACAAGAUUUUCCGGUUUGGUGGGAAAAUGAGAUUUUUCAGCUUUGGUGGGAAAACGAGAUUUUCGGUUUUAGCAGGAAAACACUUUUUUUUUUUUUUUGGCGGGAAAACACGGUUUUUGCAAUUUUGGUGGAAAAACUUGUUUUUGUGUUUUGGCCGAAAAAUGUGUUUUGGAGUGUUGGCGUGAAAACAAGUUUUUUUGUGAUUUUGGCAUGAAAACAUGUUUUCGGUUUUUGCGGAAAAACACGUUUUUGCAAUUUUGGCGGGAAAAUGCAUUUUUGAGGUUUUGGCGUAAAAAAAUAGUUUUUAGGUUUUCGCGGAAAAGCCCAUUCACAAACUUAGCCCAUAUGGAUCGCUGAUUCCUUUAAUGAAACGCUAUGUUUCGAGGAGGCGGGACACGUGUUGACUCCUCGUGAAGCGACUUUCCUAAGUGGAAUCCUAGGUGGCAGCCUCAGGAGAGAGCAAAACACUCUUUUAUAUAUAAAGAAACAGUUUGUUCUCUUCUCCUUAGGACACCUAGGAUUCCACCUAGAUAAGUCGAGCUUUGUGAGCACGACACGUGUCCAACUAUCCCAAAAACUAGCAUUUCAUUUAAGUUACAGAUCAUAACUUUGUGACGCCUCCUCUCCUCCUCUGCCUCUCUCCUACGUGAAGUUAUUAAGCACCGUGAUGCCUCCUCUCCUACUUCGUGACAGCUCCGCUCCUCUCCGGCUAUUACGUCUCUACUCUUCCCGUCUCUCUCUCUCGCUCUCCACGUCUGUUCUUCUAUUCCCUCAGAUCUCUGCUCCAUGUCUCUCCAGCAUCAGGAGAUCUCUUCUCAUGUCUCUCCAUCUCCACUACCGUUUCUAUCAAUUAAUGUUUGAAUAAUCGAAGUGUGAAGACGAACCAGAGGAUCGAUACGGUGUAGAGGAGCAGAGAGGAGUGUGGAGGAAGAGAGGAGAGGCUGUAUGGAGGAUUACCACCGUCGAAUAGACAAAUCUGGGUUUUGUUUGAGUUUUAUUAGAUCUGAAUUUUGCUCUUAGUUGAAACUCUUGAUGAAUAUUAUUUCUAUUUUUGUAGGUUUGUGAUUUGAAGAUGAUGGGUUAUAUAUAGUUUAUAUAGGCUAGAAAAAGACCAUGGUAAGGAUUUGCCAAGAAGUUUGAUUCUGAUAUUUUCUCUUUUUUUGGUAGAUGAAGUGGAUGGAAAGGAUUUGCCAUGAAAGUUGAAUCUUAUUCUGUUUACUUAAUAGCUUUCUUUAGGAGACAAACUUCGUUUUAAAUUGUAAAGUUUACUGUUUUAUCCAAUGUUUCUGAAUUUAGCUGUGUAGAGAAGGAGUGAUCUUUCGAUGUGUUUUAAAGUUCAGCUUUUUAAUGUUGUUCAGGUUGAGUGAUAUGUUUUGUGGUUCACGGCAGGAGAGAGUGGUAUACAGAAAAACUGGAAAAUGGAAAGCGUAGCCAUACCAGAGCAAUUGAUCAAACUCCUCCCUGUUGCCGAGCCUGGAAUAUUUGAUCUGGUGGGUUAUGUCAUCUUCGCCGUGGAAGGAAUCCAUACCAGAGCGUCUUCUACAACGGAAAAAUUGAGGUAGUUAUCCAAGGCAAAUGUGGAGAGGCAUGGACUUCGAGAAGACGGAUGUGAUGCACUUGUAAAACUGGUCACAGUCACGAUUCGAAAUGCCUAGCUUGUUGGGAGGAAGAAAAAUAUGAUUAAAAUUAUUGAAAUCAUUAUUGGCAAAUUACUCAAGGGCUAGAUAGUGUAUAGGCAAUAAUUCAAAACUGAAAGUUUGUAGGGCGUUAAUUUCUAUCCUAGACACAAAAAAAUCAUACAAAAAAUAAUAAUCUAGAUUACAAGUAAAAUAUAUCCUGCCCGAAGGGCGGGCCGACUCUAGUUAUAUAUAUGUUUCAGUUUUGGUGUUCCCAUGGCUGUCGCUUUUAGUUCUAUCUUUUGUUUGUGAUGUUGAAAUAUAGUCAUGCACUUGUAAUCUUAUAUAUACAGAUAGUUGAGAGGAAGAGUCAAGAACACAAAAUGGACAACGUUAGGAAUGUAUUCAAUUACCAUUAUGAUGCCAUUUUGUUGCAUUUUUGUCUCUUGCAUUUUUGUUUCUUGCAUUUCAAACUGAAACAUAUAUCAUAACAUCGUCUCUUGCAUUUUUUGUUGUGGUAGUAUAUUAAAUAUAUUUGUUGUUCUAAUUAUUAAGUCUAAUGUUUAUUUAUUAUCGUAUUUUAGUAUAGGUUUACUAUUUUCAUAACACCCAUGUUUAGUCAGAGACAAGAAAAUCCGUACCAAGCUACGAAAGACCCAACAUUCGAGGGAAAUCAAGAAAGACAAUAAAUAAAUGUACGUGUGAAUUUAAAGUUUAAGCAUCAUAAAAUAAACGAUAAAGAAAACUUCUCCACAUCAACUUUAUGAAAAUUAAUGUACCUAUAGCUUGACGUGUAUGCCAAUGAUAAUCCAGUUAAAUAUGACGAUUUAUCUAAGUAUAGCUUGUUGUUUCCAAACGAGCAACUUGAGACUGAAAUUGAAGCUAGUCGUUCCUUGAUUCAGUCAGAUACAGAGCAACAUCAUAUACCAUACAGCGAAGAGUCUGUGCAAGAAAAGGUUUGUCUUUUUCCGCUUCACUUUUUUUUUUGAAUGAAUGUUAAAUUUAUUCAUCACAAAAACCUAUUUUACAAUCAAUGCAUCGUUUGUGUGGAAAAGAAAUAGAAACUAGGAAACUAUUACAAACUCACAAACCUAUUUUAAAUUUAUCCGAUUCAGUUCUCUUUAUUGCUUUGAUUCUUAAGAAACUUACAUUAAGCAUAGUUAUCUGAAAACCACCCGCUCUUAAUUUCACAUAUGCCUUCAUAGUAUGAUCUAAUAAUGAUAUGACUAUCUCUAUUUAUGGUAGAAAAUUCUCUCACAAGAAAAUAAGAUUCAGAGGUUUAAUGAGCAGGUUAAAGAUCUAAAGAGGCAGUUGGUUCAAUGCAGGAAUGAAAAUCAGGUUGAGUUGACGGAGCUAGUAACUGAGCUUGAUCAGCUGCCACUAAGUUGUCUCUAGUCCAUUUUUACAGGCAUAUUAUUUUUCCCUAGCACAUGUUCCACAUGUGGUUUAUUUCUUUCCAGUUAAAAACAUAUGUUAAAUCAUAAUGCUUCAAGACUGAGACAUCAGGGGCUGCCGGACUGGGAUGGACUAACAAAACUUCAAGAGAAACUCAGAGAUUUUCAAGCUCCACUAACUUUGUUAUGUCACCACUUAUGGCAGAAGGUUUAGCGAUGAGGGAAGCGAUUAGGAAGAGUAAGGAACUGGGGAUCCGGUGACUAAGAUGCGAAUCAGACUCCUCACAGCUGAUCAAAGCACUUAAUUAAUAUCUACUGAGCCUUUGGAGAUUUGUGGGAUAAUCUCAGAUAUUAGAAUAGAUGCUAGCUCUUUUGAUGCUAUUUCUUUCUGUUGGAUUCCUCGAGAGAGGAAUUAUGAUGCUGAUUUCUUAGCUAAGGAGGCCUUACGCCAUGUAACAACGGAUUUAAUCAGUUUUGUUUUUAAUCAAUGAAGUUACUUUCCAAAAAAAAAAUCAUGCUUCAAGAAUUACCUAUUUGAUGGCUAGAAUCAAUUGCCAACUAAUUUGAUGCACUAUGAGAUAUUGAUCUUAUUGGAUAUGAUUGACAGAAUAUGGCAGCAUGGUUUCUAAAUUAAUAUCUGGUCCAGGGUUAUCAAAAUGAAUUUUCCAUAUGAAUAUCAUACCUAUUGAUCAGAGCCACAUGCAUACUUUUUUCUUGAGUGCUUGCUUGCUGUCUCGACCUUUUACCUUAAAGAAGAGUGGUCCUUAUAGGUGUACUACAUCAAGUAUGUGUAGCUAAGAAUGCUAUUGGAAUCUUGGGGUGUAAUUAUACUCUCUCUCUAUCUCUCUUCUCGUUGGUUUCAUUUAUCAUUACACUGAAAGCGUUGGACUAAUGAGUGAAGUCAAUAACUUGGACAUGACACACACUUAAACAAAUCUCUUGAAAUUGUAGUUACUGAGUAAUUUGUAUUCUUCAUGUAUAUGCUAAAAAAGUUUUACUACGUAGCAAGCAACCAAAGAUCCAGCGGUCGGGGAAAAUCAAGAAAGACAACAAUGAAUCUUACGUGUGAAAUUAAGGUUUAAGCAUCAUAAAAGAAACGUUGGGGAAACUUUUUCCAUAUCAAAUUAUUCAUGAAAAUUAAUGUACCUAUAGUUUGACAUGCAUGCCAAUGAUAAUCUCAGUUAAAUACGAUGCUUUAUCAAAAUAUAGCUUAUUCUUAAAGAAUUUGCUAUGUUGAACCCUAGAAAACAUAUAGUGUUACAUACGAGAUGAGCUCUUCAAUGAUUGAAAGGGAAAACAUUGCAUUAAUUUAGGUUAACAUAUGCAAACAAAGACACAAGUUUAAGACACAACAAGAAACAAAAACAAAAAAAAAAACAAGAAACAUGACCAAAGCAACAAAAACUAGAAAUAUGAAACGAGAAUGCAAAGACACAACAGUAACAACUUUAUUCCAAGACACAUUAAUUUUAUUAUUCGACGGCUAGCUGCUUCAUUAGGCAUUGUCCGCACCAUCAGACUCGCUGCUCUCUCCUUCAUAGAUCUUCAUCUCCCCAUCGUCAUCCUCAAGAAAUGGCUCAUUGCCACUCGUAUUCGGAUGUUGCUUACGUAACUUUCUAUCAUAAUACACAAUUUUCUUACUUGUAUAUGACUUUAACUUCUCAAUCUCGGUUUGAGAAAGAUCAGCAAUCAUUCUACUACCAUUUUUGAUUUGGAGCAUGAGAUUAUCCAUCUUCAACUCCUCGAUAGCCUUCCGAGAAAGCUCUAGUUUCUUCUCGAUCUCCUUGGUAAUGGUCUUGAUGAAUGAUGACUCUUCAUCAUCCGCCUUCAUGUUCCUCUCGGUUUCCGGUAAUGCGUUAUAGCAGUCGAUGAGAGAUUGAGCCUCCUCCAGAGAUGGCCACGCCACCAGCUUACCAUUUUUACGGUUGUAAAAGACCAAACAUGCACUCAUAUCACAAACGAUGGUUAGUUCUUCAGCCAUUUGAAUCAAUUCUUUCAUUCUCCGCUGGCAAACAGUAGCUCUUCUCUUUCGUUCCUCGACCCAAGCCAACUUCACUUUUGGUCUUCCCAUGGCUGUCGCUUUUAGUUCUAUCUUUUAUUUGUGAUGUUGAAAUAUAGUCAUGCACUUGCAAUCUUAUAUAUAUAGAGAGAGUCGAGAGGAAGAGUCAAGAACACAAAAUGGACUACUUUGGGAAGGUAUUUAAUUACCAUUAAAUUUCAACAUAUUUCAUAUAGUAGUAUGGUAAAUAAUAAUUUGACUGUACUAUUUUAGUAAUUGUUCAAUUACCAUUAAUUUUGAAUAUAUCUCAAAUUAGUAGUCUAGGAAGAAAAAGUUUGACUAUACUGAGGGUCUAACUGGUGACCACUGAAUGAAAGGGAAUGAUGAAUUUAUUACUAUUUCUAAUUAUUUUUACCAUUUAUAAGAAAUAUUUUUUCUUUUUUAUUCUUCUCAUUCCUUUUAUUCUAGAGGAAUAUAGAACAAAUUUGUUUCUCAUUAAAAUCGGUAAGGAAUAAUCUUUCUUUUCUUCCUAUAAUUUUAUUUCUCUACAUUUUUCUCCUACUCAUUCCUAGUGUUCCUAUAGUGGUUACCAGUUUGACCCUAAAUAUUUUGUUGUGGUAGUAUAUUAAAUAUAUUGGUUUUUCUAAUUAUUAAGUCUAUUUUUUUAUUAUCGUAUUUUAGUAUCUCCUAUAUAUUAAAAGAGAAACAUUUGUAAUUAAUGUGUUCACACUAUAUUUUCUAUGUUAUAGCUUCACAUUGAUUUCAAUUUGAGUAUGCUGACGUGUCGGCCUCACAAUCAUUUAACAAUUAAUGCAUUCACACACUAAUUUUUUAACUCUACCGCAAAUAAUUUAAUGUGUUCACACACUAUUUAUUUGAUUAACUCAUCUGGAUCUGAAACUGAAUCGAACUAGAUUUGAAAGUAAUACUAAACACAAACUAAAAUGAUUCAGUAUAUUCAGAUGGAUUAAAAGUUUAAUAUCUAGAUAACCAGAAUCGAAUCUAAUCCAAAAUAAAAUAUUUUGGAUACCAAAAUAUCUAAAUCUCAAUUAUAUAUUUAAAUAUAUUAAUUAUUUUAAAUUUUAUAUUCAGUAGAUAUUCAAAAAUAUGAAAGUAUCUCAAAAUUAUCAACAUAGACACAAGUAAAUAUCUAAAAAUAACAGUAAAUGUUAAAAAUACUGAUAAUAUUUAUUAGUUCUCCAUCCAAAUAUUUAAAUUGAAUGAUUUUUUAUGUAAAUUUAAAUAGUUAGUCUUACAUUAUUAAUUUUUUUAUGUUUUGUAUUAUUUUAUUUUUGGAUUUUGAGUAUUUAAGUAUAUUUAUAUUUUUGUUAAAAAAUACCUGAUUAAAAUGGAUAUCCGAACUCGAAUCCAAACUGAACCCGCAAAGAUUCGAAACCAAAUCUAAACCAAAAUUUGUAAAUAUCUGAAUAAGAUUUAAAUAUCUAACUCUAAAAGUGUGAAAUCCCGAUAGAUCAACUGAAUUCGAACAUAUAUAUGAAUAUUUAUUCCACAAAAAGCUAUAUGACAAAUCUUUUAGUACAACAUACUAUAAA